rnacentral:rRNA from 1 species
UGGGGAAUCAUGGUCAAUGGGCGAAAGCCUGAACCUGCGACGCCGCGUGAGUGAUGAAGGUCGUAAGAUCGUAAAACUCUUUUCAGGGAUCUUAAAGCACAACCGUCAACAACGGUUGUGUGUGACUCUCCCUGGAAUAAGCCCCAGCCAACUACGUGCCAGCAGCUGCGGUAAUACGUAGGGGGCGAGCGUUAUUCGGAAUUACUGGGUGUAAAGGGUAUGUAGGCGGCCCUUCAGGUCGCGUGUCAAAGUCCAGUGCUCAACGCUGGGUGUGCGCGCGAUACUGACGGGCUUCGGGGCGGAAGUCGCGGAAGAGGCACUCAUGGUUUUCAGCUCCCUGAUUUUCCUGUUUUUCUUUCUUCCGGUCGUGCUGACCGUCAGCCUGCUGCUCAGAUCUUCAUGGCGCAACGCCUGGCUCCUGGCGGCCAGCUUCUUUUUCUAUGCC